UACGUAGGGUGCAAGCGUUAAUCGGAAUUACUGGGGCGUAAAGCGUGCGCAGGCGGUUUUGUAAGACAGAUGUGAAAUGCCCGGGCUUAACCUGGGAACUGCAUUUGUGACUGCAAGGCUAGAGUUUGGCAGGAGGGGGGUAGAAUUCCACGUGUAGCAGUGAAAUGCGUAGAUAUGUGGAGGAACACCGAUGGCGAAGGCAGCCCCCUGGGUCAAGACUGACGCUCAUGCACGAAAGCGUGGGGAGCAAACAGG
rnacentral:rRNA from 1 species